CUGGCUCAGAUUGAACGCUGGCGGCAGGCUUAACACAUGCAAGUCGAGCGGGGAAGUAUAGCUUGCUAUACGACCUAGCGGCGGACGGGUGAGUAAUGCUUAGGAAUCUGCCUAUUAGUGGGGGACAACAUUCCGAAAGGAAUGCUAAUACCGCAUACGCCCUACGGGGGAAAGCAGGGGAUCUUCGGACCUUGCGCUAAUAGAUGAGCCUAAGUCAGAUUAGCUAGUUGGUGGGGUAAAGGCCUACCAAGGCGACGAUCUGUAGCGGGUCUGAGAGGAUGAUCCGCCACACUGGGACUGAGACACGGCCCAGACUCCUACGGGAGGCAGCAGUGGGGAAUAUUGGACAAUGGGCGAAAGCCUGAUCCAGCCAUGCCGCGUGUGUGAAGAAGGCCUUUUGGUUGUAAAGCACUUUAAGCGAGGAGGAGGCUACCGAGAUUAAUACUCUUGGAUAGUGGACGUUACUCGCAGAAUAAGCACCGGCUAACUCUGUGCCAGCAGCCGCGGUAAUACAGAGGGUGCGAGCGUUAAUCGGAUUUACUGGGCGUAAAGCGUGCGUAGGCGGCUUUUUAAGUCGGAUGUGAAAUCCCUGAGCUUAACUUAGGAAUUGCAUUCGAUACUGGGAAGCUAGAGUAUGGGAGAGGAUGGUAGAAUUCCAGGUGUAGCGGUGAAAUGCGUAGAGAUCUGGAGGAAUACCGAUGGCGAAGGCAGCCAUCUGGCCUAAUACUGACGCUGAGGUACGAAAGCAUGGGGAGCAAACAGGAUUAGAUACCCUGGUAGUCCAUGCCGUAAACGAUGUCUACUAGCCGUUGGGGCCUUUGAGGCUUUAGUGGCGCAGCUAACGCGAUAA
rnacentral:rRNA from 1 species